UCGUCUCGUCUCGUGUCGCCUCGUUCGUUCCGUCCGCUGCGGUACGUCGCACCGCGCCACGGUGAAGCGCGCACGUAGGCACGCGUUCGGCUAUGCUCGUCCCGAAGCCGAUUCGAUCCGAAGCGACUCGCCACGAUUCUGACUUCAAUUUCGACUCCGAUUCGCGCUCCACUCGUUCCAAUCAGAGUUUUAUCUUCUUGCGUGUUUUAUACCAUCCGUAUAAUGCCAUCAACUACCAUAAAGAUUCACAAGUCUAAAUCUCCACAACUAUUCGAACGGUAACUAUACAGGAAUAUCUAUCAUCUAUAGUUUCGAUAAUCCUACAUACGCUGUCAGUAUGGCGUCAGUCGAAGGAAGCCGAGUCGAUAUAAUAUACCGUGAAUUAUGAAAAUGGCAAGACAGCGUGAGUGACGAUGAAUCGACGGGUAUUAUUACGUGCCAUGACUGUGAUAUUUAUAUUAACAGAAGAGAAUUUUCAGAAAGAGAAAAUUAUACAAUAUUUAAAUCUUAUAAUUGACUUUGUUACACAUAUUCAUAUGAUAUUUGGAUAUGUACUUAUUGAAUAUAAAGACGAUGAUUCCGAAUUAUAGAAAUUUCUUUUCAUCCUUAAGUCACGAGCGCGACUUAAGUGACUGCCGUGCAGCUGGCAGCCAAGCUUUUACUACACAGACGCAUUCGCGACACGUCGCCCGCACUCCCAACCUCCACCAACACUUCGUUGCGUCAUCACAGUUUCACGGUGUGCCGGGAUUCGACGGGAGGAGAACGCGCGCUCGCGCGCAAACGGGACCACUGCGAGAGCGACGCAUCUGUAUCGCUCCGCUUACACUUAUUACAAAUCCGCCAGUGAUACUCAACCUAAUUUAAACUUCAUGCAAGCGUGACGCAUCGGUACAACGGUAUAGUUCAAACUUAAACGUUAUAAUAUUUUCGCGAUUUAUUUCUUAUUUCUUUUUUUUUAUAUAUAUAAUAUUAAUUUUAUGUUUUUUUACAUAAUUUGAUAGAUUUUUUUUUAUAUCAGAUUUACGAAAUUCUACAUGUAAAGUAAUAAUAUUUAAUAUACUAAGAUCGAAUUUUAAUAUUAUAAAAUAAAUUAAAAUAAAUCGUAUCAAUCAUAUGUUUUAAAUAA